UUAAGCGACUAAGCGUACACGGUGGAUGCCCUGGCAGUCAGAGGCGAUGAAGGACGUGCUAAUCUGCGAUAAGCGUCGGUAAGGUGAUAUGAACCGUUAUAACCGGCGAUUUCCGAAUGGGGAAACCCAGUGUGUUUCGACACACUAUCAUUAACUGAAUCCAUAGGUUAAUGAGGCGAACCGGGGGAACUGAAACAUCUAAGUACCCCGAGGAAAAGAAAUCAACCGAGAUUCCCCCAGUAGCGGCGAGCGAACGGGGAGCAGCCCAGAGCCUGAAUCAGUGUGUGUGUUAGUGGAAGCGUCUGGAAAGGCGCGCGAUACAGGGUGACAGCCCCGUACACAAAAAUGCACAUGCUGUGAGCUCGAUGAGUAGGGCGGGACACGUGGUAUCCUGUCUGAAUAUGGGGGGACCAUCCUCCAAGGCUAAAUACUCCUGACUGACCGAUAGUGAACCAGUACCGUGAGGGAAAGGCGAAAAGAACCCCGGCGAGGGGAGUGAAAAAGAACCUGAAACCGUGUACGUACAAGCAGUGGGAGCACGCUUAGGCGUGUGACUGCGUACCUUUUGUAUAAUGGGUCAGCGACUUAUAUUCUGUAGCAAGGUUAACCGAAUAGGGGAGCCGAAGGGAAACCGAGUCUUAACUGGGCGUUAAGUUGCAGGGUAUAGACCCGAAACCCGGUGAUCUAGCCAUGGGCAGGUUGAAGGUUGGGUAACACUAACUGGAGGACCGAACCGACUAAUGUUGAAAAAUUAGCGGAUGACUUGUGGCUGGGGGUGAAAGGCCAAUCAAACCGGGAGAUAGCUGGUUCUCCCCGAAAGCUAUUUAGGUAGCGCCUCGUGAAUUCAUCUCCGGGGGUAGAGCACUGUUUCGGCAAGGGGGUCAUCCCGACUUACCAACCCGAUGCAAACUGCGAAUACCGGAGAAUGUUAUCACGGGAGACACACGGCGGGUGCUAACGUCCGUCGUGAAGAGGGAAACAACCCAGACCGCCAGCUAAGGUCCCAAAGUCAUGGUUAAGUGGGAAACGAUGUGGGAAGGCCCAGACAGCCAGGAUGUUGGCUUAGAAGCAGCCAUCAUUUAAAGAAAGCGUAAUAGCUCACUGGUCGAGUCGGCCUGCGCGGAAGAUGUAACGGGGCUAAACCAUGCACCGAAGCUGCGGCAGCGACACUAUGUGUUGUUGGGUAGGGGAGCGUUCUGUAAGCCUGUGAAGGUGUGCUGUGAGGCAUGCUGGAGGUAUCAGAAGUGCGAAUGCUGACAUAAGUAACGAUAAAGCGGGUGAAAAGCCCGCUCGCCGGAAGACCAAGGGUUCCUGUCCAACGUUAAUCGGGGCAGGGUGAGUCGACCCCUAAGGCGAGGCCGAAAGGCGUAGUCGAUGGGAAACAGGUUAAUAUUCCUGUACUUGGUGUUACUGCGAAGGGGGGACGGAGAAGGCUAUGUUGGCCGGGCGACGGUUGUCCCGGUUUAAGCGUGUAGGCUGGUUUUCCAGGCAAAUCCGGAAAAUCAAGGCUGAGGCGUGAUGACGAGGCACUACGGUGCUGAAGCAACAAAUGCCCUGCUUCCAGGAAAAGCCUCUAAGAAUCAGGUAACAUCAAAUCGUACCCCAAACCGACACAGGUGGUCAGGUAGAGAAUACCAAGGCGCUUGAGAGAACUCGGGUGAAGGAACUAGGCAAAAUGGUGCCGUAACUUCGGGAGAAGGCACGCUGAUAUGUAGGUGAAGUCCCUCGCGGAUGGAGCUGAAAUCAGUCGAAGAUACCAGCUGGCUGCAACUGUUUAUUAAAAACACAGCACUGUGCAAACACGAAAGUGGACGUAUACGGUGUGACGCCUGCCCGGUGCCGGAAGGUUAAUUGAUGGGGUUAGCGCAAGCGAAGCUCUUGAUCGAAGCCCCGGUAAACGGCGGCCGUAACUAUAACGGUCCUAAGGUAGCGAAAUUCCUUGUCGGGUAAGUUCCGACCUGCACGAAUGGCGUAAUGAUGGCCAGGCUGUCUCCACCCGAGACUCAGUGAAAUUGAACUCGCUGUGAAGAUGCAGUGUACCCGCGGCAAGACGGAAAGACCCCGUGAACCUUUACUAUAACUUGACACUGAACAUUGAGCCUUGAUGUGUAGGAUAGGUGGGAGGCUUAGAAGUGUGGACGCCAGUCUGCAUGGAGCCGACCUUGAAAUACCACCCUUUAAUGUUUGAUGUUCUAACGUUGACCCGUAAUCCGGGUUGCGGACAGUGUCUGGUGGGUAGUUUGACUGGGGCGGUCUCCUCCUAAAGAGUAACGGAGGAGCACGAAGGUUGGCUAAUCCUGGUCGGACAUCAGGAGGUUAGUGCAAUGGCAUAAGCCAGCUUGACUGCGAGCGUGACGGCGCGAGCAGGUGCGAAAGCAGGUCAUAGUGAUCCGGUGGUUCUGAAUGGAAGGGCCAUCGCUCAACGGAUAAAAGGUACUCCGGGGAUAACAGGCUGAUACCGCCCAAGAGUUCAUAUCGACGGCGGUGUUUGGCACCUCGAUGUCGGCUCAUCACAUCCUGGGGCUGAAGUAGGUCCCAAGGGUAUGGCUGUUCGCCAUUUAAAGUGGUACGCGAGCUGGGUUUAGAACGUCGUGAGACAGUUCGGUCCCUAUCUGCCGUGGGCGCUGGAGAACUGAGGGGGGCUGCUCCUAGUACGAGAGGACCGGAGUGGACGCAUCACUGGUGUUCGGGUUGUCAUGCCAAUGGCACUGCCCGGUAGCUAAAUGCGGAAGAGAUAAGUGCUGAAAGCAUCUAAGCACGAAACUUGCCCCGAGAUGAGUUCUCCCUGACCCUUUAAGGGUCCUGAAGGAACGUUGAAGACGACGACGUUGAUAGGCCGGGUGUGUAAGCGCAGCGAUGCGUUGAGCUAACCGGUACUAAUGAACCGUGAGGCUUAACCUU
rnacentral:rRNA from 1 species